rnacentral:rRNA from 1 species
CCUACGGGAGGCAGCAGUGAGGAAUAUUGGUCAAUGGGCGCGAGCCUGAACCAGCCAAGUCGCGUGAGGGAUGACGGUCCUACGGAUUGUAAACCUCUUUUGCCGGGGAGCAAGCGUGCGUUCGUGAACGCGCGUCGAGAGUACCCGGAGAAAAAGCCUCGGCUAACUCCGUGCCAGCAGCCGCGGUAAUACGGAGGAUGCGAGCGUUAUCCGGAUUUAUUGGGUUUAAAGGGUGCGUAGGCGGUCCGUUAAGUCAGCGGUAAAAUUGCGGGGCUCAACCCCGUCGAGCCGUUGAAACUGGCAGUCUUGAGUACAGUUGAGGUAGGCGGAAUUCGUGGUGUAGCGGUGAAAUGCUUAGAUAUCACGAAGAACCCCGAUUGCGAAGGCAGCUUACUAAACUGUGACUGACAUUGAUGCUCGAAAGUGUGGGUAUCAAACAGGAUUAGAUACCCGUGUAGUC